rnacentral:rRNA from 1 species
UACGGAAGGCAGCAGUGGGGAAUAUUGCACAAUGGGCGAAAGCCUGAUGCAGCUAUGCCGCGUGUAUGAAGAAGGCCUUAGGGUUGUAAAGUACUUUCAUCGGGGAGGAAAAACAAAACUAAUAAUUUUAUUUCUUGACGUUACCCGAAAAAGAAGCACCGGCUAACUCCGUGCCAGCAGCCGCGGUAAUACGGAGGGUGCUAGCGUUAAUCAGAAUUACUGGGCGUAAAGAGCACGUAGGUGGUUUUUUUAAGUCAGAUGUGAAAUCCCUGGGCUUAACCUAGGAACUGCAUUUUGAAACUGAAAUACUAGAGUAUCGUAGAGGGAGGUAGAAUUCUAGGUGUAGCGGUGAAAUGCGUAGAUAUCUGGAGGAAUACCUGUGGCGAAAGCGGCCUCCUAAACGAAUACUGACACUGAGGUGCGAAAGCGUGGGGAGGCAAACAGGGAUUAGAUACC